rnacentral:rRNA from 1 species
GACGGGGGAUGCGAGCGUUAUCCGGAAUGAUUGGGCGUAAAGGGCUCGUAGGCGGCCAACUAAGUCGGAUGUGAAAUCCCCAGGCUUAACCUGGGAAUUGCAUCCGAUACUGGAUGGCUUGAAUCCGGGAGAGGGAUGCGGAAUUCCAGGUGUAGCGGUGAAAUGCGUAGAUAUCUGGAGGAACACCGGUGGCGAAGGCGGCAUCCUGGACCGGCAUUGACGCUGAGGAGCGAAAGCCAGGGGAGCAAACGGG